GUUUUUUCCUAAGCAUUGGUUUAUUGUUGCUUACAGGUAUAGUACGAUUGGUGAAAAAUAAAAUGGUUUUUUGAUUUUCUUUGUAGUUUUUUUUAAUAAUUGAGCAAAACCGACAAAAAUUCAGAAAGUACAGAACUAUGUAUGAAAAUAAUAAUUCUUUUAUUUUCAAUUUUGUUUUUUUAUAAUGUAAUUUAGUUUGGAGUAUUCAUAAAGACUUGAUAUUUUGACAGAAAACUUAUAUUUGUUUUUUCUAGACGUGGUAACAUUUUCAAAAUAUUUGAUUCAUUUUCCAGCUAAUUAUACACAUUUUAAUUUUGAAAAUUUUGUACAUAAUUUUCAUCCGGUACGUACUCUAUGGAUACAAUUGUUAGACUAAACAGAAAUGAUUGACAAUUUAACAUGAGGUUUAUUAAAAGUCGUAUUUUGUGUUUAAAAAAAAAAAAUUUAUACGAAAUGUAUUAUUAAAAUGGUAUCGCGUGAAUCAAUCAUUCAUUCUUAAAUAUUGCAAAAAGGUAAACGAAAUAUAUGUAAUACUUACGAUGACUGAUUUGUCGUAAUCACAUUAAGGAAUAAAUAAUCGUGGUCUGUGACGGAUUAGAUGCACAAUACGCAGUUUGAUAUA